rnacentral:rRNA from 1 species
GGGUUGUGAGGUUAAGCGACUAAGCGUACACGGUGGAUGCCCUGGCAGUCAGAGGCGAUGAAGGACGUGCUAAUCUGCGAUAAGCGUCGGUAAGGUGAUAUGAACCGUUAUAACCGGCGAUUUCCGAAUGGGGAAACCCAGUGUGAUUCGUCACACUAUCAUUAACUGAAUCCAUAGGUUAAUGAGGCGAACCGGGGGAACUGAAACAUCUAAGUACCCCGAGGAAAAGAAAUCAACCGAGAUUCCCCCAGUAGCGGCGAGCGAACGGGGAGCAGCCCAGAGCCUGAAUCAGUGUGUGUGUUAGUGGAAGCGUCUGGAAAGGCGUGCGAUACAGGGUGACAGCCCCGUACACAAAAAUGCACAUACUGUGAGCUCGAUGAGUAGGGCGGGACACGUGGUAUCCUGUCUGAAUAUGGGGGGACCAUCCUCCAAGGCUAAAUACUCCUGACUGACCGAUAGUGAAC